rnacentral:lncRNA from 11 species
CCGGGCUGCUGUGCAUCUUUCUUUUUGGCUCACUCUGUGAACUUCCUGUGAAAUGGCAGAAUUGGGAAAUAAUCUCAUUUUUCCCCCUCUCCCACUUUGCAAGUUGUGUUUGAUUUUCUCUUUAGGAACACUUUAGGUUAUGUAAGUUUUAAUAAGCAGUUUGGCCCUCCUCAAGGCACACCCCACACACUUAUGCUGCCUUGACCUUAGGUCACAAGUAAUGGUUGCAAGCUAAUUGAUUGAGAAAGGUUUGUCUGACUGGGCCUCUUGGAGUCCUCCCUUUACAUUCCUAAAUUGUAUGAAGGAGCAGUGCAGCUUAGUUUAGCCAGGGAGGAGGGGAGAGGAGGGUAAAAGGGAGGAAGUUCUCCAAGUUCUGAUUAUGCGCAGUUUCCUUGUUCUGAGCUGAGAUCUCUCCACCCACUAUUUACUAAAGAACUUUUUUUAAAAACUAGGAGACGAACAUCUUAAAGCUUUUAUCCCUGCAACUGGGGAAAAGAAAGGAAUCUGUAUUCAGGGAGCUGUUGCAAGAGCCAGUUCUGUACUCAGUUUGCCUGAACUGCAGCCGUUUAUGGAACGGAUAUCAGGAGUUCAGCAAAGUGCACUCCUGCACAGGGCAGAAACUUUGGAUCUCGGCUGACAGGCAAAUAAGCCCUCUCACAGAAGGGGCCUCUGUGUGGCAGUUCUAAGCUAUUAAGCUUUGGACUGCCUUAGGGAAAAUGUGCAAUGGAGCAGGGCAGAAAGGACCACUGCUUUCAGGCAACUGUUGCUCUCUGACGGGCAUGCUUUGAAUCAGAGAUUGAGUUGGAAGAAUGUGAGCAGCUAUUGCAAGUACUUGCUCUGGAAAUAUUAUCCUCCUUCAUGGUGUAAAAGUAGGGAGAAAAGGUUUCUCAAGUGCUUCCCCAACUUUGGAAGUUUCAUUGAAGAUCUUCAUUAAGAUAAUAAAAAUUCAGCAGCAAAAACAUCUGGAGAUUCAUUAUGGUAAAAAAGAUGAUCCGGAAUACUUAUAAAUGAGAAACGCAAAGGCCUCUGUAAAUUUAGAAUAAAAACCUUGGAUCUCAAGGCAGAGAUAUUUAUUGUUCAACAUCUCCUAAAUAAAUUUGACAUUUGAGUAUCUUUGUCUUUGGCUGUAGGAAAUGCUUCCAUCACAUUAGGUCGCACCACCCAGGAGCAUGAGAAACAUUAUGUAGGUA